rnacentral:rRNA from 1 species
CAAAAACAUUGCCCCCUGACCUUUUAUGGGGGGUAUCUCCUGCCCAGUGACAUCAAGUUCAACGGCCGCGGUAUCCUAACCGUGCAAAGGUAGCAUAAUCAUUUGCUCAUUAAUUGUGGGCUAGAAUGAAAGGAUUAACGAAAUAUAAACUGUCUCUGCGAAUAUAAUAUAAACUAUCCUCUAAUUGAAGAAAAUUAGAUAGUGUUGAAGGACAAGAAGACCCUAUAGAGCUUUAUUCUAUAAAAUGUAUUCAUAUUUUUAUAAAUUCGGUUGGGGCGACCAGGGAAAUCAUUAAUCAUCCCUACUUAACAGAUUUAUUAAUCUAAUUAUUGACCCUUAAAAAGAUCUUAAAAACAAGCUACCUUAGGGAUAACAGGCUAAUCCUAUUAAAGAGUCCUUAUCUAUAGUGGGGUUUGGCACCUCGAUGUUGGCUUAGGGGAUCUAUAAGACGCAAAAGUCUUAUAAAGAUGGUUUGUUCAACCAAUAAUACCCUACAUGAUCU